GACCCGACUUGCAUUCUUUCAAUUUCAAUUAGAGAGAGAGACACACAGAGAGCCUGAAAAAUGGGAAGCUCCAACCACUACUGUCUUCUCCUGAUUUGUGCAAUACUGGCCGUCCACGUGGUGGUAUCAACAUCAUCAACGGUAGCCGUUAGUUUUAUCCCGAUGGAAUCUGGUUGCCGUGGAUCAAUUGCCGAGUGCUUGAUGAGCGGGGACGAAGAUUUCGAGAUGGACAAUGAGAUCAACCGGCGUAUCUUAGCGACUAGGAAGUACAUAAGCUACGGAGCUCUGAUGAGGAACACUGUGCCAUGUUCGAGACGCGGCGCCUCGUAUUACAACUGCCGACCAGGAGCUCAGGCCAACCCCUACACUCG
rnacentral:misc_RNA from 1 species